GGGCUGGAAAGUUGGAAUUUCCUGCAGUUUUAUGACAUCUGGAUCAUUGCUGACAUUCCGGGAGGACUGCGUUCCUGGGGCUACCACCACAAUGUCAUCCAUUUUCGCUCGCUGCUUGGCUGGCGACGGAGAUGCUGGAAGGAUACAGGAGAGGAAGGGAACGAUCAGACUAACAAGCGGAUUCCACCAGAACUCAACCCUCAGCAAACGUUGCCACGUUCGACACGGUACAGUCAAAUCAGCAAAGAAGCUGCGCAAUUGUCUAUGAUGGAAGGACCGUCUAUAAACGUGGAAGAGGGCUAGCGUACGAGCGAGCCUGUUCUCCCCCCGCGCACGAUUCCCAGCGUCAUCGAAAGCUCUGCGCUGAACUCGGCGGCGUUUCGCCUGGCUGCCUCUGCUAACUGCCACCGAGAUUUAAUUUAACACAAAAAUAACGCUCCUAUCUCAUGGGAACGGCACCUCACAACUGUUACCCGGAUCAAGGCUACGGGAAGACAGUCCCAAUCCAGCAUCGCCUUUUGCCAGCUGUAGGCUCCACUAUGUGCUUUUGUAACCUAAUAAUAAUUGACCUUUCUUUCAGCUACCUGAACGACUGCUUGAUCCCUGCCAAAAUAACAAAUAAAUAGUAUGAAAUCAAUGUAAUUAUUUGGGGGGAAGAACAAACUAUUCUUGGCACAGUUUGGUUUACAGACUGGAGUUCCUAAUCAGCAAUACGCACACACAUGAAUAAAGUCACACCUGUGAGUAGUCUCUGGCUUUCAAGGAAGGACUGGCAGUGUUUAAAGAGAACUGCUGCAGUGUUUAAAGAUAAAGUGCACUAUGUCCAUAGGACUACAGCCUACCUAGUGCUUGCCACAAUGUCAUUUGACAUUAUCCGUCAGGCUCGGACAAAUUUUAAAAUUAGCUGCGUUGGAUCAGCACAUUUAACUUCAAUUUGCAUCCUUUCCACUUCUACGGAAUGGACUUCUCGCUCCUCUCUGCAGUGUUUUCAUUUAUUAUUGUGAAAGUGUGAAUUUGCGGUAUACCACCACCCCCAGAAAAGUUUUAAUUUAGCUAUCGACCAACAUAUGUGUCUACCGCGUGGAAUUUUAUCAUUGCAAACAUUAUUAAAAUAAAGGUAUAUUUUAAUGUG